UGAAAUAGUGCAAAGGUAGAGGAGGCUGGUGCUGAAACGAUUAAGAACAUCAGGCCAGAAUACCUCAAGGUACAGUGUCCACAAUUUCCAUUGCUUCUCUUCACUGAUGUUUGGAAUUUGGGAAUGAGGCUGUUACUUUCAAGGAGAUGAUCCCUUACAAUUUAUGACAAUACCGGGUUCUGUGGGUCCACAUUUUUCAUCAACCUCGCCAACCUUAUCAGAGAGUGCGGUAGAAGUUGUUCCAACGCAAGAUAAGGUUCACAGUUUGUCGCUAAACGUUUCUCCCAACGUCUUCCUACUUGUUUGUAACUCCACAUUUAAAAGUCAUGAAUUGUCUGAAACUCUUCACCGUCCUCCUUGUCGCCUUUGUCUUCCACCUCAGCUCGCUGGACGGAGUACAGGCUGUCCA